GGAGCUAUCGUAUAUCGGUUAGUAUACUCCCCUGUCACGGGAGAGAGGCGGGUUCGAUUCCCGCUAGUUCCGCAA
rnacentral:tRNA from 1 species